AACAUGGUUUUGACCAAUAAUUGUGUCAGGCUGUGAGAAAUCCAAGCCAAAAUCAUCAAUGAUGACCAUAUUUUCAAUAACAUCCAAUGCUCUGUCAACAUUAGGUUGAAUCCUCAAGGAAUGUAAAAUAUACAUGAAGCAACUGUAACGGGUACCAUUUGACAGAAAUUCAGAGAGUGAAACAUCUGCUCGAUGAGCAUGUGGAGAGAGUCUUGCAAAUGGUUGCUGCAGACAUUUAACAUGAAUUAAUAUAUGUGGAUGAGCCUGGCUUUCUUCUUGC